rnacentral:misc_RNA from 1 species
GAUGAAGAACGUAGCGAAAUGCGAUACGUAAUGUGAAUUGCAGAAUUCAGUGAAUCAUCGAGUCUUUGAACGCACAUUGCGCCCCCUGGUAUUCCGGGGGGCAUGCCUGUUCGAGCGUCAUUUCAACCAUCAAGCCCCAGGCUUGUGUUGGGGACCUGCGGCUGCCGCAGGCCCUGAAAACCAGUGGCGGGCUCGCUAGUCACACCGAGCGUAGUAGCAUACACAUCGCUCAGGGCGUGCUGCGGGUUCCGGCCGUUAAACCCCUUUUUUACCCAAGGUUGACCUCGGAUCAGGUAGGAAGACCCGCUGAACUUAAGCAUAUCAAUAAGCGGAGGA